rnacentral:pre_miRNA from 1 species
CAGAGGAAUGUCCCGGGGCCACCUCUUUGGUUCUGUACAUAUUUUGUUAUUGUACAUAACCAUGGAGUUGGCUGUGGUGCACUCCAUCUG